AGUGAACGCUGGCGGUAGGCCUAACACAUGCAAGUCGAACGGCAGCACAGUAAGAGCUUGCUCUUACGGGUGGCGAGUGGCGGACGGGUGAGGAAUACAUCGGAAUCUACUUUUUCGUGGGGGAUAACGUAGGGAAACUUACGCUAAUACCGCAUACGACCUACGGGUGAAAGCAGGGGAUCUUCGGACCUUGCGCGAUUGAAUGAGCCGAUGUCGGAUUAGCUAGUUGGCGGGGUAAAGGCCCACCAAGGCGACGAUCCGUAGCUGGUCUGAGAGGAUGAUAAGCCACACUGGAAGUGAGCCACGGUCCAUACUCCUACGGGAGGCAGCAGUGGGGAAUAUUGGACAAUGGGCGCAAGCCUGAUACAGCCAUACCGCGUGUGUGAAGAAGGCCUUCGGGUUGUAAAGCCCUUUUGCUGGGAAAGAAAAGCAGCAGGUUAAUACCCCGCUGUUCUGACGGUACCCAAAGAAUAAGCACCGGCUAACUUCGUG
rnacentral:rRNA from 1 species